AUUGAACGCUGGCGGCAGGCUUAACACAUGCAAGUCGAGCGGGGGAGGUUGCUUCGGUAACUGACCUAGCGGCGGACGGGUGAGUAAUGCUUAGGAGUCUGCCUAUUAGUGGGGGACAACAUUCCGAAAGGGAUGCUAAUACCGCAUACGCCCUACGGGGGAAAGCAGGGGAUCUUCGGACCUUGCGCUAAUAGAUGAGCCUAAGUCGGAUUAGCUAGUUGGUGGGGUAAAGGCCUACCAAGGCGACGAUCUGUAGCGGGUCUGAGAGGAUGAUCGGCACCCCUGGGACUGGGACACGGCCCAGACUCCUACGGGAGGCAGCAGUGGGGAAUAUUGGACAAUGGGCGGAAGCCUGAUCCAGCCAUGCCGCGUGUGUGAAGAAGGCCUUUUGGUUGUAAAGCACUUUAAGCGAGGAGGAGGCUCUUAAGGUUAAUACCCUUGAUGAGUGGACGUUACUCGCAGAAUAAGCACCGGCUAACUCUGUGCCAGCCGCCGCCGUAAAAC
rnacentral:rRNA from 1 species